UUGGUUAAGUUAGAAAGGGCGCACGGUGGAUGCCUUGGCACUAGGAGCCGAAGAAGGACGGGACUAACACCGAUAUGCUUUGGGGAGCUGUACGUAAGCGUUGAUCCAGAGAUUUCCGAAUGGGGGAACCCACUAUCUUUAGUCGGAUAGUAUCCUUACGUGAAUACAUAGCGUGAGGAAGGCAGACCCAGGGAACUGAAACAUCUAAGUACCUGGAGGAAGAGAAAGAAAAAUCGAUUUCCUGAGUAGCGGCGAGCGAAACGGAAAGAGCCCAAACCAAGAAGCUUGCUUCUUGGGGUUGUAGGACACUCUAUACGGAGUUACAAAAGAAAGUUAUAAAUGAAGCGGUCUGGAAAGGCCCGCCAAAGACGGUAACAGCCCGGUAGUUGAAAUGGCUUUCCCUCCAGAGUGGAUCCUGAGUACGGCGGAACACGUGAAAUUCCGUCGGAAUCCGGGAGGACCAUCUCCCAAGGCUAAAUACUCCCUAGUGACCGAUAGUGAACCAGUACCGUGAGGGAAAGGUGAAAAGCACCCCGGAAGGGGAGUGAAACAGUUCCUGAAACCGUGUGCCUACAAGUAGUUAGAGCCCGUUAAUGGGUGAUAGCGUGCCUUUUGUAGAAUGAACCGGCGAGUUACGAUUUGUUGCAAGGUUAAGCGGAAAAAGCGGAGCCGUAGCGAAAGCGAGUCUGAAUAGGGCGCAUAAGUAACAGGUCGUAGACCCGAAACCAGGUGAUCUACCCAUGUCCAGGAUGAAGGUAAGGUAAUACUUACUGGAGGUCCGAACCCACGCACGUUGAAAAGUGCGGGGAUGAGGUGUGGGUAGCGGAGAAAUUCCAAUCGAACUUGGAGAUAGCUGGUUCUCUCCGAAAUAGCUUUAGGGCUAGCCUCGAGGUAAAGAGUCAUGGAGGUAGAGCACUGUUUGGACUAGGGGCCCUUCUCGGGUUACCGAAUUCAGAUAAACUCCGAAUGCCAUGUACUUAUACUCGGGAGUCAGACUGCGAGUGAUAAGAUCCGUAGUCGAAAGGGAAACAGCCCAGACCACCAGUUAAGGUCCCCAAAUAUAUGUUAAGUGGAAAAGGAUGUGGGGUUGCUUAGACAACCAGGAUGUUGGCUUAGAAGCAGCCACCAUUGAAAGAGUGCGUAAUAGCUCACUGGUCGAGUGACCCCGCGCCGAAAAUGUACCGGGGCUAAACAUAUUACCGAAACUGUGGAUGAACCUCUUUAGAGGUUCGUGGUAGGAGAGCGUUCUAAGGGCGGUGAAGUCAGACCGGAAGGACUGGUGGAGCGCUUAGAAGUGAGAAUGCCGGUAUGAGUAGCGAAAGAAGGGUGAGAAUCCCUUCCACCGAAUAUCUAAGGUUUCCUGAGGAAGGCUCGUCCGCUCAGGGUUAGUCGGGACCUAAGCCGAGGCCGAUAGGCGUAGGCGAUGGACAACAGGUAGAGAUUCCUGUACCAGUGCUAAUUGUUUAACCGAUGGGGUGACACAGAAGGAUAGGGAAUCGCACGAAUGGAAAUGUGCGUCCAAGCAGUGAGUGUGAGAAGUAGGCAAAUCCGCUUCUCGCGAAGCAUGAGCUGUGAUGGGGAAGGAAAUUAAGUACGGAAGUUCCUGAUUUCACGCUGUCAAGAAAAGCCUCUAGGAAGAGUA
rnacentral:rRNA from 1 species